rfam:Triticum aestivum genome assembly, contig: Triticum_aestivum_CS42_TGACv1_scaffold_289544_4AL
CAUAUACUCCCUCCGUCCGGAAAUACUUGUCAUCAAAAUGAAUAAAAGGAGAUGUAUCUAGAUGUAUUUUAGUUCUAGAUACAUCCCUUUUAGUCCAUUUUGAUGACAAGUAUUUUCAAACGGAGGGAGUACUUU